rnacentral:pre_miRNA from 19 species
AACUCUUAUAAAGUAUAUUUCUGAUCUUAGCAAUAUUCCGCAGGUGAACUGCCUUUUUUCACCUGCGGAAUAUUGCUAAUAUCAGAAAUAUACUUUCUAAGAGU